AGGGUCGUGGUGAAAUGGUAUCACGGCGGUCUCCAAAACCGCUUUUCCGGGUUCGAAUCCUGGCGACCCUG
rnacentral:tRNA from 1 species